UACGAAGGGGGCUAGCGUUGCUCGGAAUCACUGGGCGUAAAGGGUGCGUAGGCGGGUCUUUAAGGCAGGGGUGAAAUCCUGGAGCUCAACUCCAGAACUGCCUUUGAUACUGAGGAUCUUGAGUACGGGAGAGGUGAGUGGAACUGCGAGUGUAGAGGUGAAAUUCGUAGAUAUUCGCAAGAACACCAGUGGCGAAGGCGGCUCACUGGCCCGUUACUGACGCUGAGGCACGAAAGCGUGGGGAGCAAACAGG
rnacentral:rRNA from 1 species